CAAGGAAUAGUAGACAAUGGGCGCAAGCCUGAUCUCGCGACGCCGCGUGAGGGAUGAAGGCCUUCGGGUUGUAAACCUCUUUUUUCAGGGAUGAAUAAUGACAGUACCUGGAGAAUAAGUCACGGCUAACUACGUGCCAGCAGCCGCGGUAAAACGUAGGUGGCUAACGUUAUCCGGAUUUACUGGGCGUAAAGCGUGCGUAGGUGGUUAGAUAAGUCAGAUGUAAAAUCUCCUGGCUCAACUGGGAGGGACCAUCUGAUACUGUUUAGCUGGAGUACAGAAGAGGAAAGUGGAAUUCCCGGUGUAGUGGUGGAAUGCGUAGAUAUCGGGAGGAACACCAGUGGCGAAAGCGGCUUUCUGGUCUGUUACUGACACUGUGGCACAAAAGCGUGGGGAGCAAACAG
rnacentral:rRNA from 1 species